GCGCCCGUGGCGGAAUCGGCAGACGCGCCGGGUUUAGGUCCCGGUGUCCUCGGACGUGGGGGUUCAAGUCCCCCCGGGCGCACCA
rnacentral:tRNA from 2 species